rnacentral:lncRNA from 1 species
ACAGAUUCCCCGUCUUAAUAUUGAAUUAAUCACCCAUGGCGGAAAAAAAAUCAUGUCAUGUGUUUUUUCCGGAGCAACCAAAUUGAUAGGCAGAACCGCAAAAAUAGCAAACCAAGCAAGACUAAUUUGAUAAUAGUUCUUUCUUUUUUCUGGGAAAAGUUUCGUAAUAAUAUUAUAGCUGCAAGAAAAAAGUACAUGCCAUAACAUACGCAAGGCGAGUAUCCUAACUAAAGCAUGAAGGAUCCCUCAAAAAAAACUAAAGCAUAAAGGAAAACAAAGAUAAAAAGACAGAGUAGGUAGCUCCUCUAGUUCUGUCAUCUCUCUAAAACAUUGGAAAACAACACUAGCAUUAGCAGAGUUUAAGGAAAAGUUCCUGGUCAACCAGCAAAAACAUUGGUUAAGCCACGUACAAAAGCCCACUUGAUUGAUUCUAGGUGACAUCGGAGGAGUUGGUCUCAGAGUUGUAGCCACUACUUGGGGGUGGGGUAGAAGAUGCAUAACCUGAACCUGAAUUCACACCAUUUCCAAUAACGUUUCGAAGCGAUUCCCCCGUUUUUGAGAUGGUGGAGGCCACUGAAUUCACAAGGCUAGUAAAAAUUUGAGCCUUGAUCUGACCUCUUUUCGGGGGAAGGCUCGCUUUCUUCCUUUGAGGUGUUUCUGACAUUCUCUGUAGUUUGGGUCGGAUCUGUGAAAACAAGAAACAAAGAGCAGGUUCGGUAUAAUAGCCUCUCUGAGAAAGAGAAAAAAACAGAGGAACAAGAAACAGAAGGGUUAAUUUCUGUCGGUGUCUAGAGAAGAGGGGAAGAAGGGAUGGGUUUGGGACUAGCUCUAUGGAAUGUGAGAGAAAUAGUAAUUUAUAAACGAUGGUGUGAGGUGUAUACGUACGUAGGGCUACGGAGGAGUGAAAUUAACGUGGUACAUAUCCAUUUCCAAGAGUAAGCCAAUCCAAACGUUCCACGUC